rnacentral:lncRNA from 1 species
AAUAUAGCGUUAGUAAGGCUGAUAUGAUCUUGUAAAUUCCCCACAAUGUGUGACUUUGACAAUCACUAUACAAUGAUUUGGGGUGAUACAAUUUUUACUUUUUGAGGUAAGUGUCACUCUGACAAUGUGAAUUUUGACAUUUUAGAAUCUAGGAGUACCAAUUUGGAAAUGCAUCAAAUGUCAUAGUAAGUUAUAUUUUUCAAUGUAGUUAUAUGAGCAGUUGGAAAUUAUUAGCUUAACUUUCACUUGCAUGUUGUUUGUAUCAUCUUGCUCUUAUACUUACUGAAUUGUAGAUGAGAAAAUUUGCAUCUAAAUUAAGCAGUAAAAUUUAUAUCCAUGGGUGGAUUUCUUUUGCAUCAAGAGAAGGCUUUCUAAAGUUUUAGAAGUCAUUAGAAAAUGUUGGGAUUUGGUUUAUAUUAGCAGUUUUAGCUAUUUAAAAUAUUUUCAAGACAUUAUUAAAACUUUUCUCAGAGGAAUUAUAUUUAUUGUUGGAUUUAUUUAGGCAACUCCCAGUAAUUCUCAUUUUCCAUCAAAAAUUAAAUAUUAACUAUAUGAUGAACUAAAUGUAUGAAGCCCUACCAGGCUGCACAAUUUAGUUUGCUAAUAAAGUACUGUAUUUCAU